UAGAGUUGCGCGGAAAAUAGCAAUGCGGCUGNCGCACGGCGCACGGGUGCGUAACACGUGGGCAACCUGCCCUUCAAUGGGCCCAUACCCCCGCGGUAAGCGGGACUAAUACCGCAUGAUAUUCCUGGGACUCCUGUUCCGGGACUCAAAGGCCGCAAGGCCGUUGAAGGAGGGGCCCGCGCCCGAUUAGCUUGUUGGCGAGGUAACGGCUCACCAAGGCAAUGAUCGGUAGCCGGUCUGAGAAGAUGGCCGGCCACACUGGAACUGAGACACGGUCCAGACUCCUACGGGAGGCAGCAGUGGGGAAUCUUGCGCAAUGGGCGAAAGCCUGACGCAGCGACGCCGCGUGGGGGAUGAAGCUUCUCGGAGUGUAACCCCUUUCGACCCGGACGAAACGCCCGCAGGGCUUGACGGUACGGGUAUAAGAAGCCCCGGCUAACUACGUGCCAGCAGCCGCGGUAAGACGUAGGGGGCCAGCGGUUGCUCGGAAUUACUGGGCGUAAA
rnacentral:rRNA from 1 species